GACUGACCCAAGACCUAACUCUAGAUUUUUCAGUGUUAAUAUUCAUAGGGUUGAUUGAAGAUUGGAGAGAUACAGGCAAGGAGCCUGAUGGCGAGGGAUGCUCGACUUACCAGUGAGUGGACCCCUCUUAAGUAUGAGAUCCUAUUUCUUCUAGGUGGUCUCAUCAUUUUCUCAUCCAUGUAAUCUACACCUCCUUGUUCAUUAUUUGCUCAUUUGUUUGUCUUAAAAAUUGUUGAUUUGUUUUGGCUAUGUAAAUUAUUUUAUACUCCUG
rnacentral:lncRNA from 1 species